rnacentral:lncRNA from 1 species
GAUACGACUUUGCAUGUGCUCGUCAUUCGCACGUACAUGCCAUCAAGAUCAUCCCGAAAUAUCAUGCAUGAAGUCACGUUUGCAUGCAAGGGCAAUAUCACGUACGAAGUCACGUUAGCAUGCAAGGCAAUAUCAUGCAUGAAGUCACGUAUCCAUGCAAGCAUGCAAGGGCCACUUAGCCAAGUUCUUGUUCCAUUAUGGCCAAGCAAUUAGGAGGGAUAAUAACCACAUGCAGGAAUGUGUC